rnacentral:rRNA from 1 species
UGCAAGUUCGAACGCUUCUUUUUCCACCGGAAGCUUGCUCCACCGGAAAAAGAAGGAGUGGCGAACGGGUGAGUAACACGUGGGUAACCUUGCCCAUCAGAAGGGGAUAACACUUGGAAACAGGUGCUAAUACCGUAUAACAAUCAAAACCGCAUGGUUUUGAUUUGAAAGGCGCUUUCGGGUGUCGCUGAUGGAUGGACCCGCGGUGCAUUAGCUAGUUGGUGAGGUAACGGCUCACCAAGGCCACGAUGCAUAGCCGACCUGAGAGGGUGAUCGGCCACAUUGGGACUGAGACACGGCCCAAACUCCUACGGGAGGCAGCAGUAGGGAAUCUUCGGCAAUGGACGAAAGUCUGACCGAGCAACGCCGCGUGAGUGAAGAAGGUUUUCGGAUCGUAAAACUCUGUUGUUAGAGAAGAACAAGGAUGAGAGUAACUGUUCAUCCCUUGACGGUAUCUAACCAGAAAGCCACGGCUAACUACGUGCCAGCAGCCGCGGUAAUACGUAGGUGGCAAGCGUUGUCCGGAUUUAUUGGGCGUAAAGCGAGCGCAGGCGGUUUCUUAAGUCUGAUGUGAAAGCCCCCGGCUCAACCGGGGAGGGUCAUUGGAAACUGGGAGACUUGAGUGCAGAAGAGGAGAGUGGAAUUCCAUGUGUAGCGGUGAAAUGCGUAGAUAUAUGGAGGAACACCAGUGGCGAAGGCGGCUCUCUGGUCUGUAACUGACGCUGAGGCUCGAAAGCGUGGGGAGCAAACAGGAUUAGAUACCCUGGUAGUCCACGCCGUAAACGAUGAGUGCUAAGUGUUGGAGGGUUUCCGCCCUUCAGUGCUGCAGCUAACGCAUUAAGCACUCCGCCUGGGGAGUACGACCGCAAG